CCUGAGGAUGUGGAACCUGGGACCGAGCCUCCCUGUACAAGUGGUGACUUCCCAUCACUGUGGGGCCGCAUGUGUCCCACCUGGCAGAAAGUAGUGCUGGGUGACUCACUACGCAGGAUAAGCAGUGAGCCUGGGGGUGUUGGGACCACGGAUGAUCUACUUUGGGCUUGUCAGUCAAGUGCAGGAGCAGACAGGGCUCACCCACUCAUUUACCCAGUCACAAAGCACAACUUCAGUAACAGACUUAGAGCACUGUAGGAAGUGCAAAGGUGGUUAAGCCUCAGUUCAUCCUCCCUUCCUCCUUCUCUCUUUCUCUGUGUUGAGACAGGGUCUCACUAUGUAGCUCUGGCUGUUCUAGAAGUCUCUAUAUAAAUCAGGCUGGCCUCAAACUUCCAGAGUUCCGCCUGCCUCCACCUCCUGAGUGCUGAGAGUAAAGGGCAUGGUGUGAAAGGGGUGUGAAGGGGAGGAUGGCUUGAGAACAGGCAGAGUAAAGCCUGCCGAGGGGCUGUUUUGCUCUCUUGUGUUGCUGGGGUUCAAAUCUUGGCUAUUUAGUACAUACCGCAAGCAUCUUACCUGCGAGCUGCAUUCCAUAGGAGCUGGGAUCUUAUGUGUAACAAUAAUAAAUUUACAGUAAAAGUAACAGGUACAGUUAUCAGUAAAACCUGGAGGAGCCUUUGAUUCAUUUUUGUUUCUGAGAUAGUCUACUGUCACUCAGACCAACCUUGAACUCACUAUACAGCUAAGGAUGACCUUAAACUUCUGAUCCUUCUGCCUCUAGCUCCUGGGUGCUAGGAAUGAGAUUCAGGGCUUCAUGCAGGCUAGGAAAGUAUGCUGUGGCCAAACCUUACUCUAAAAGGGGUUUAAGCAAGGGAGCAUCAUGAACUUGAAAUGAGCAUCUUGUUACAGGAUAGCAGUAAGUUCAAAGUCCAACAACCCAAAUUUAUAGGGUAGACAGUUAUGGUAAGGGGAGAGCGGAUACAGGAAGACCAGCUAUCAGCUAUGCGAGAGUCCAGGAAAAGGAUGGAGCUGCUGAAUUACAGUGUCAGUGGGCAGUGGGAAGAUGUGGCUCACGGCCGUAGCCAUGACAGCAGUAUAUUACAGAGGCAGUUGCCAGUUUAGGCAAGUAUAGGUAUGAUGAUGGUUUCUCAAAAGUGCUGUCCAGACACUAGCUUAAAGCACUAGCUACCCUGCAGAUGUGCUCUGGUCCUCAGACUACACAUUACUGUGGUGGGGGGCAGGUACCACACUUCCCAGUUUCCUGCACACCCUGUGUAGUUCCCAGGAAGUUCUCUGUGCAGUGGAAGCAAGCAAGAGAAUCCUGUUUACAUAAGGAUAUCAUCAACUAACUUAAGAGUGGCCAGCAAGACAGUUAAGGGAAGGGCCCAGCAUCCUCUCUUUACACAAUUUCUGAGCCUACAGGGCUAGAACUUCAUAGGCAGAAGAGUUAGAAAAAGACAGAGCAGGAAUCCAGUAGGGUCAGCUAGGACCGUGUCUUCCAGUCCCCCUUCUGUUAGGAGGCCAGUGUAUUUCCUCCAAUCGUAGGGUGGUAGGUGAUAUCAGGAAUGCAAGUUACUAGGCAGAGUUCAGCAGCCAGACGUCCUAAUGCGUUGUGCAGUCUCCUCAGCUUCAAGGAGAGCAUCUGUUUAGAGGUCUUACUAGUUAGUGCAGACGCCCAUUGCUGGUGGGGUUCCUUCUGGCUUCAUCACAGGAUCUGCUGACACUAGGAUUCACAUUAUCACAUACUUGAUCUUUCCUGCCUUGACCACAAACUGCUUCCUUGACUGUGUAUAGCUGACGAUGUCUGUGGAAUGCUUCUGGUGUUGAUCUCUGCAAUGACAGACACUGAAUUUUGGAGGUAGCAUCAGAAGAGGUAGGUAAGGGGAGAUGGCCUCCAGGCUGCUAAGGAGAUACAUGGGUGCUGAUCCUUCCCUCCACAUUCCCAUAGCCAUGCCCUAGGCAGGAACAGUAGAUGAGAAUGUGCUUUAGUUCUUCUGCUCACAGCCCACAGGUAACACUUGUGUUUCUACUCAGGGUGAAAUUCCAUUUCCUGUCACCACACGUAGCUUUCAGAGAACUGCACUCCAGUUGAAGAUCAUGGCUUAUUUUUUCCUCAGUGAGUCAUCCUUAUAAAUUUAUCUCUAGAAACAACAUGGUCAGCUCCCCAACUCACGGAGGCCAUGGGACUUCUUUACUUCCACAUUUUCUCACACAGAAUUCAUUUAAAGUUUGAAGUGAGCUGAGUGGUGGUGGCAUACACCUCUAAUGCCAACGUUCCAGAAGUAGGUGGAUCUCUGAGAGCUAGAGGCCAGCCUGGUCUACAGUGUGAGUUCCAGGACCAUCCUCGUGUCCCCCCUCCCCACCACCCCCACCACCAAGAAAAAAUUGAAAUAAAGCCACAGGAGCAGAGUGUGUGUCCUGCACAGCCUGCUGCUUAUAGGAGCGACCUUAAGGUAUAUGGGAGCUGGCCCUUUCCAGUGGACAUCCAUGUCUGCCUCAGACUUCCACAGGCUGCGGUCAGGAUACCUUUGAGAAACUGGAAGAUACUGUGGCCAUGCCACCAUGCCUACCCAUAUUGAAUUGCAGAACCAGGGCUUGGGGCUCUGGUUGUGUAGAAUAUAUUCAAGUUCCCUAUCGUGGGCUGGGGAAGUAGCUGAAUGGUAGAGCAUACGCAGAGCACGCACAAGGCCCUGGUUCACCCUCAAGCACUGCAAAGAAAGGCACAGGUUUUCUGCUGGCUCCAAGACCCUUAUUUCAAAGGAACAGGGCUAUAAAAGUUAUGAAUUUGCUUUAAGCUAGCUUGAGCUAAUUAAGAAGAUAAAGAUGACCUUGAACUUCUGAGCCCUCUCAAAGUGGGGAUUAAAGAUGUGUGCCACCAUGUACAGUUUAUGGGGUGCUGGGAAUCUAAGCUAGGGCUUUGUGUGUCCAAAGCAAGCACUAAUGCCGACUGAGUUACAUCCCUGUUCCCUACUCUGCUGCCGAGGCUGACCUCAAACUCUGGUUCUCCUGCCCUAGCCCCCAGGGUACUGAGAUCAGUUAUAAGCUGUCAUAACCAGCUUAAUUUGAAACCAUGGGGGUUGAGGAGUUGGUAGGGUCAAACAAACCUCCAACCAAAGCUGCCUGGACAAGAGACUGAGGGCUUGUGUUGUGCUGCCCUUUGGUGUAGUCCAGCCCACUGAGAAGGCCCACAUCCUGCUUUAAAAACAAUAAAGAGGGAACAAGAUUUACACUUCCUUCUGCUCCCCCACUGUUUGACUUUCUCAACAGCACCUGUCUCUGUCUGACACACUGCAUCUCAUUUUCAUAUACUGUCUCUUUUUUCUCCUCACAAGGAUACAAACGUUUCGGGAACAAAGCUUUCAUUGCUGUAGCCAAUGUCCAGCCCAGUGGCCGACAGUUAGUAAAGGCUGCACAAAUGCUCAGUGAGGCCAACGUUCCUUCUCCCACUACAGCCAUAUCUUUCCAUGGACUUAGCAGCUGAGAGCUCAGAUGACCAUGGGUCUGUGUCAGUGGCAACUCUCCCAGUGUGGUGGUAAAGGUUUCUCUCCACCUCCAGGUACUGUGUUCAUCUGCAACUCCUCCCCUCCCCCAGUCAGCUUUCCCUCCCCGACCCAGAGAAGUCAGCCUGUUCCUUCAUCUAGAGUUUCCUACCCUCUGCCUUGUGCUGAUAUCAUAUUCCUGAACACAUCUACAAGAGGCUGACAGUAGACACUGGCUUGCCCUGGGAGGCUUCCUGCUCUCUGGCUCUGUCCUUUACCACAGCUCCCCAGCCAGGGCCGACCUGAAGGGCUCAAUAUGGCCAAAAUACUUUCCUGCUGGUCCCAGGUGAGAAAGUAUCUCUUUAGCCAGUUCACAGCAUGUAAACUAAACACUGACUGUUGCUGACAUACUGAGGACAGUGGACUGAGCUCCUCUUUCCUGAUGCAGGAGCCACCAAGCCAAGGAAACUAUCAAAUUCAAGUCCCUGAGAGAGACCUGGUCAGUCUGGGCAGCACUUGCUUUGAGUCUCAGGAUGACCAAACUCCCUUUAGCUCUUCACGAUUCCUUUUUAAUAUUUGAAAAAUAUCAUAUCAAGUUUUGCUUGCAUUUGUAUCUGUGUACCAUGUGUGUGCCUAGUGCUAUAAUGUCAGAAGAGGGAGUUGGACCCCAGGAAUUGGAGUAGAUGGUUGUUGAGUCAUCAUGUGGGUGCUGGGAAUUGAAUUUGGGUCCUGUGCAAGAGUUGCCAAUAUUACUAACUGUGGGGUCAGCUUGCCAGCUUUUUCUUUUUUAAGCCAGGGAUACCUGUAGUCGAGGCUAGUUCUGAAAUGCCUAAGUAGCUGGGGCAGGCCUUGCUCUUUUCCCAAUCUCCUGACUGCUGGGAUUAUAUGCUGGAGGCACCACACCAUGUAUACGGUGUUGGGGAUAGAACCCAAGGCUCUGUGCAGGUUGGGCCAGCAUUCCAGCAGCUGAGCUGCAUCCUCAGCUCUCCAAGGCAGUUUCUGACACCGAUGAUUAGACUCAGGUACUGCUCAAACCCUCACUAAUCUGUUCCUGAGGGCUGAGCCUAUAGGUCUCUACAGCAUGUUGGCUGAUUCAGGAUAGGAACCACUGCUUUUCCAGCCAAGGCAGGAGGAAAGGUCUUGUUCUAUCUACACAGGUUCUGUCAACCGGGCUCAGAAAGUCUCAGGACAUGACAUUGAAGCUGCCUGUCAAGAAGCAGAUACUUGGGCUGGGGAUUUAGCUCAGUGGUAGAGCGCUUACCUAAGAAGCGCAAGGCCCUGGGUUCGGUCCCCAGCUCCAAAAAAAAAAAAAAAAAAAAAAGAAGCAGAUACUUAAAAAGCUUGGGCUCCAAAGAACCACUACAGAGCACCACAUAUUUAACUGUCAGCCUUAUCCUGGGACUUUCUCUGCUCCCACACUUCUGCCAAGCUCUCCAUCGGCGGAAAAUCAGGACAGUAUACCAGUAAUUCCAGUACUAGAAGGCUCAGGCAUUCUGGGUUUGAGGCUUGCUUGGGCUGUGUAGUGAGACCCUGUCUUAAAACCCAGACAAUUAGGGGUAAAAAGCUGUGUGUAAACUCAACCUCCAGUCUGUAGCCUUCUCUUGUCUCUAGUAAGAUCCAUGUACAGGCUGCUGUUCUUAGAGCACGGAGAACAGGCGCUGUGGGUUUGUAGGAAAAGCAGGUACAGAAGGGGUGACUGCUGCUAGACCUCGAUAAAUAGACUCUAAUACAGAGCCCUUCCAUUGGCCCACCCCUGCUGAAGGCUAUGAGAAGGAAGACUGGAUCCCUUCUGGGUUCUUUCUCUUUAUUAUUCCUCAUAUGCUGUCUUUCAUCUGAAACCCAAAGUAGUCUUGUCAUAAUAAACAUGACAGGACUGACUAAAAGAGAACAUGGAGGGAAGGUCACAGGGUCCCUUACACCAUGCAGGAGGUCCUGGGUACUCGCUCUACAGAAGACCCAAACCCUAAUAACAGAGCUGGAAAGGUAUCCAUAGUUCAACUAUGUCCCCACUGAGAGGAGAGGGAAUCCACUUUUCUCAGCUCAAAGGAUGCUUCCCAGACCUCAGCUUCCUACCCCUGUCUUUCUGGAAGUCAAGGACUGUGGGACGGAAGGGUGUCUCAAGGUCACUCGUGUGUGUGUGUGUGUGUGUGUGUGUGUGUGAGUGUGUGUGUGUGUGUGUUGUGCUGACAGUGACAAAGAAUUAGGCUGGUGUUCAGGUAAAUUCUGGUACCCACCUUGAGUUCUUUAGCAGGUCCCACUUCUAACUCCUUUGCCACCCAUAGGGCUUACUGGGGUGGGAAUGGGGAUAAACUUCUGUUAAGCCAGGGAACAGAACACAAAACCUUCCUGGGAACGACUGCCCUUAGAAACAGAAAAAGACGAAACAAAACAAACCCACUGUACUACCAAGUCUUUGAGGUAUUAUGCCUUUUGUUCCUGAGGUGAUGGUGGUUAAAGGAGGCCGGACGUGGCUGCUGCCCUGGUGAAAAGUCCACUGCAGGAAGGAGCCACAGACACACCUUGGAGGCCUCAGGGCUGAGCCUGGAGUAAGCUCCACACGCGGCGGACGCCACGUCCCCAGCUCCGCCCACGCGAGCUUCGCGGGGAACCCCGGUGACGUCACCACCCGCAGCGCCCUCCUUCCCGCGCUCUCCAGAAAGGACGCGAAGGUGGUGACGUGUCCGGAGCGCCAGCGCGGCUGCGCACAAGGCGCGUGACCAACCUGCGGCGCCGCCUGGCGGAAGAACAGCGGCGGUGUGGCUGGAAGCGAUGUGCGGCGGCAGCGUGGUAACGUCAUAUCGCGGGGCCACGUGAACGCAUGCUGCUUCGGCUUCCCUUCUGCUAGUGUGGGCGGAAACGUGGCUUCAAGCCUUGCAUUACUUGGCCUCCUGAAACAGCCUGACGUCGUCCGGCUGCUGGUUAUGGGAAGUUUGAAGACCAGGAAACAUAGAGACUGCGUACUCAUCCCCUGCCUUUGUCAGCAACCGAAAUUGUGUCUUAGGACGGUACCGAAAGCACCAUCUCCAGCAACAUGAGCAGAUAACAUGUGAUGCUGUCUUUACGCAGACGAGGAAUUCACGAAUUAGUCCAUUUCUACAGUAUCCGGAGUCCCACAGGAGCGCAUUCCAGACCGCAGCCAAAGCUGCUGGACCCACACCAAGUCGUAGAGGGGAAAGCAGGAAGGAAGUCAGUCAUGCACCCAGUUGGAAACCGACCUUGUUUUUUGAAGUGCAGUUUUCCCACAUAGCACUUCAUACAGUGUCUGGGUCCUUGGACCUUACCCUGGGGCUUACAAUUUAGAUAGACACUUUUUGUUGAGCAGGUUGGAGCUGGGCGUUUCUGUCAAUUGCAAUUAAGAGGUUUUUGAAAAAUAUUUAUUUAUUAUAUGUAAGUACAAUGUAGCUGUCUUCAGACACACCAGAAGAGGGCAUCAGAUCUCAUUACAGAUGGUUUUUGAGCCACCAUGUGGCUGCUGGGAUUUGAACUCAGGACCUCUGGAAGAGCAGUCAGUGCUCUUAACCACUGAGCCAUCUUCCCAGCCCCCAACAAUUAAGAGAGUUUUAUACAACAUUCCUAUUCAAGGGCUGGAGAGAUGACUCGGCAGUUAGGAGUAUUGACUAUCAGAGGACCUGUGUUCCCAGCAUCUCCAUGAUGGCUCUCAAUCAUCCCUAACUCAAGCUGCAAGUGCUUCAACCUUUUCUGAUUUCCCAGGGUACCAGGCACCCAUGUGUUCAUACAUACAUGUAGGCAAAGCAUGACAGAAAACCCCCCUGCAUAUCAAACUAAUAUAUUUCAAGUUGAAAGAAUAUAUUCACAGAAGUAAACUAAACAUAAUUUUAGUACUGUGUAGAAAUCGAUCUGUAGCCCCAGUCGGCCUGUGGGAAGAGUAAUGUCUAUAACCCGGGGGAAAAUGAAGACUCAAUGAGAAAACUGACUGGAGUUAAGUGUAAACAGAAGUCGUGGCAGGUGUGCAGGAAAUGUUUCAUUCUCUACUAGAAGGCAAAUUUUAUCCACCAUCUCUGUUCUGUGAUGAGUGAACCUAGAACUAGGUUUUGAAUUUUACCAGCUGCUUCAACAAAAAAUCCCAGGUUCUCCCUUUGUAGUUCUUUUUUUUUUUUUUUUUUUCUUUUUUCUAUUUUUGGAGCUGGGGACCGAGCCCAGGGCCCUAGCAAGUGCUCUACCGCUGAGCUAAAUGGCCAGCCCUCCCUUUGUAGCUCUUGAAGUACUGGAACUCACGGCCCACUUUUUCCUGCUGACUACAAGAUAAAUUCUCCCAAAGGUUCUAAUUGUAAAAUCAUGACAUCGAUGGUUUGGAAAAACUAGUGACAUUGUACUUUAUUUGUUAUCAGGAUAAAGAGUAUGAUUGGAGCUCUCAGGCAGAGAGAGAGAGAGGAUUCUGCUCGGCCCAGGGCACCAUUAACUUUCCAACACUGUUAGCUAAGAUCCAGUGCUGUGACUUUAGAGAAUUACAGAAAACAAGCUGCAGGUGACUCCAGGAGAAACCAGUGAGCUGGACUUUUGUAAAACUCUGGUCAGAAAUAAGUGUCCAAUUUGUAACGAAGACUGUACACACAAGGCUGUUUACAAAAGUCUUCUGCAGAACACACACGGAUGGGCUGAGUAACUGCAUCUUAGCCAAGUGCGGUUCAUCGGCAGGGAUUAUAGAAGUGCUACUAGGAUUUACAGUCCUCAGCAGUUGGGAUGUGCAAACUCUGCAAAAUACUCUUGAUUUGCCUCAAGGGAAAGUGAUAGUAGUCAGAGGGGCCAGCUCCAAAGGCUGGUCCAUGGGUGGCCUCGGGUCCUGGUAAUCAGCCACAUGUCCGUUCCGGUGAUGACCAUACUCAAACUUGAUUCGAAGCUCACCAAUCUUGGAUUGUGGGAGGAUAUCUGGGAUCCACUCGAUGAUAAAGGGUGUUGGCUCCUUUUGAUCUGGGGAAGUGUUCCCUACAGAGGGAAAGGUGCAGGCCAGUUAGUAUGGGUCCACCUGACUCUUUGCCUUUGCUUUUGUUUCUUUCUAGACAGGGUCUUCACUGGAGCUCAGGAUGUCCUCCUAUUUACUGUGUAGCAUAUAACUCCUCUAGGUGUAGCUGGCAAGAUGGCUCAACAUAAAGCAGGCGUGGGGACACAAGCCUGGCAACCUGAGUUCAACCUGAGUUCAAGCUCCCGAACCAGCUCCAACAAGUUGUCCUCUGAGCUCCUCCAUAUACAUAGAUGUACACACCACUGUGGAAGUAAGCUGAAUAAACCCUUUCCUCCAAACUUGCUUCUUGGCCAUGAUGUUUGUGCAGGAAUAGAAACCCUGACUAACACCACCCCCCACCCCUCCCCCCUUUUGUGGCUGUCUUUCUCUGUGUAGCCCUCACUGUUCUGGAACUAGCUCUGUGGACCAGGCUCACGUGCUUCUAGAGUGCUGGGUUUAAAAGCAUUUACCACCACCCUGAGUUUGUAACACAUUCUUAACAAAGGAGGAGGCAGGGUAACCAAAAUUCUAAUGCAGAACAUUUUACUCUGUUCAGCUUUAAAUAAUUUAAAUAAGAAGCCAAAACUGGGCUUAGUUGCCCACACCUGCAAUCCCAGCACUCUUUGGAUGCAGACAAGUGGAUCUCUGUGAGCUGGAGGCUGGUCUGGCCUACAAAGCAAGUUCCAGGCCAGGCCAGCCAGGAUUACAUAGUAAGACCCUGUCACAACCAAUGCUGCAAAAGAAACAAAAAGAACAGGGCCAACAAACGUUAGUGGUUAAGGGCACUUUCAGGGAGCUCUUGGUGGAAGGGGAGAACCGACCUUUGCAAGCUGUCAUCUAUCUGUGUCCAAUAGUACUCUACCCCAUCCCCAUUAUAUCAAAUGUAAAGAAAGUCACAAAUUAGAAACAAGUGUCCAGGGAUUAACUGCCCAGGUGGAACGUGCACCAAACAGAGAAUAAGUAGCCCCGAUGGGGUUAAGAAAGGAAAGAGAACUAGAGGAAUGAAAGGAAGAGCAGCCAGUGCUGCUGUAACCAUUCAGAAGGUAACUUCAGGGGCCAGUGAGGGGACUAGGUUAAAGGCACAUGAUGGCCUGAUCUUCAUGGUGCAAGGGGAGAAUCAACUCCCACAGUUUGACCUGGGACCUCUCUCUAGAUGCUCACUGUGACUUUAUACGCCUACCCCACUGCUGGUUUUAUGACACAGAGCAGCAAGCCUGUGGGAAGAGAAACCAGCAAGGAAGGGUCAAGCUCAGACAUAGUCAAAUCUGCAUGGUUCCACAGCACAGUUCAACCCCACUAUGCACCGCAGUACUGGCUGGAGAGGACACAGAUUAAUGGCAUUUCCUACCAGUAAAAAAACACAAGGAAGCAUGUUUCAUUUUUCUGAGACAGGGUCUCUGUCUUGGCUGGCCUGGAACUCACAGAUCUGCCUGCGUCUGCCAUCUGAAUGUAUCUGUUUAAAAGCAAGUUCCACCUCAACUAACUCAGUAAAAGUUUCUUAUAUCAAAUAUUGAACACCGAGUGAAGAUCUGGAAGAGAAGAGAAGAUGGUUAAACUUAGAAUAAACUUCAGAAGGGGUUGGGGAUUUGGCUCAGUGGUAGAGCACUUGCCUAGCAACCACAAGGCCCUGGGUUCGGUCCCCAGCUCCGAAAAAAAGAAAAAAAAAAAAAAGGUAGAGUAAACUUCAGAGAUCACAUUUACAUGUGAUAAGUAUGUAGGCUAGCCUCUGCUAUGCUCCUUUUAUCUACAAUAAACCUUCAUACUUAA